UGGUGGGGUGACCCGUCUGGUUAAUUUCGAUAACGAACGAGAUCCGAGCUGUUUAGUUGGCGCUUUUUUGUUACUUUUCAAAAUAACGUCUCCUAAAUGGACUGUCAGUUUGAGGCUGAAGGAAGUUUCGGGCUAAAUCA
rnacentral:rRNA from 1 species